rnacentral:rRNA from 1 species
CGUUGCACUAUCGUUUGAUGAAUACAUAGUCAAACGAAGCGAACCGGGGGAACUGAAACAUCUCAGUACCCCGAGGAAAAGAAAUCAACCGAGAUUCCCCUAGUAGCGGCGAGCGAACGGGGAGCAGCCCAGAGUCUUAAUCAGCAUUAGUAUCAGGAGAACGGUCUGGAAAGUCCGGCAGUAAAGGGUGAUAGCCCCGUAUCUGAAGAUAUUAGUGUUGUGAACUCGACGAGUAGGGCGGGACACGUGUUAUCCUGUCUGAAUAUGGGGGGACCAUCCUCCAAGGCUAAAUACUCCUGAUUGACCGAUAGUGAACCAGUACCGUGAGGGAAAGGCGAAAAGAACCCCGGCGAGGGGAGUGAAAUAGAACCUGAAACCGUGUACGUACAAGCAGUGGGAGCCUUGAUUUAUCAGGGUGACUGCGUACCUUUUGUAUAAUGGGUCAGCGACUUAUAUUCUGUAGCAAGGUUAACCGUAUAGGGGAGCCGUAGGGAAACCGAGUCUUAACUGGGCGAAUGAGUUGCAGGGUAUAGACCCGAAACCCGGUGAUCUAGCCAUGGGCAGGUUGAAGGUUGGGUAACACUAACUGGAGGACCGAACCGACUAAUGUUGAAAAAUUAGCGGAUGACUUGUGGCUGGGGGUGAAAGGCCAAUCAAACCGGGAGAUAGCUGGUUCUCCCCGAAAGCUAUUUAGGUAGCGCCUCGUGAACUCAUCUUCGGGGGUAGAGCACUGUUUCGACUAGGGGGUCAUCCCGACUUACCAACUCGAUGCAAACUACGAAUACCGAAGAAUGUUAUCACGGGAGACACACGGCGGGUGCUAACGUUCGUCGUGAAGAGGGAAACAACCCAGACCGCCAGCUAAGGUCCCAAAGUCAUAGUUAAGUGGGAAACGAAGUGGGAAGGCUCAGACAGCCAGGAUGUUGGCUUAGAAGCAGCCAUCAUUUAAAGAAAGCGUAAUAGCUCACUGGUCGAGUCGGCCUGCGCGGAAGAUGUAACGGGGCUAAACUAUGCACCGAAGCUGCGGCAGCGAUAUGUAAAUAUUGUUGGGUAGGGGAGCGUUCUGUAAGCCUGUGAAGGUGUACUGUGAGGUAUGCUGGAGGUAUCAGAAGUGCGAAUGCUGACAUAAGUAACGAUAAUGCGGGUGAAAAACCCGCACGCCGGAAGACCAAGGGUUCCUGUCCAACGUUAAUCGGGGCAGGGUGAGUCGACCCCUAAGGCGAGGCAGAAAUGCGUAGUCGAUGGGAAACGGGUUAAUAUUCCCGUACUGGUGAUAAUUGCGAUGGGGGGACGGAGAAGGCUAGGCUGGCCGGGCGACGGUUGUCCCGGUUUAAGGAUGUAGGCAGGUGAAUUAGGCAAAUCCGGUUCACUAUAUGCUGAGGUCUGAUGACGAGUCACUACGGUGGCGAAGUAGCUCAUGCCCCGCUUCCAGGAAAAGCCUCUAAGCUCUAGAUUAUCA